CCAUAGCUAAGGCAAAGGGCCGGCCCAAAAGUGAGCGCAUAUCAGCAAAUAAAAUUUGGACAGUAUCAUAUCUCCAUCUGCAUCAAUUCCUUUAUUUCCCAGAAAAGGAAAUCAAAUAUUUCUUUCCGUUGUAUCCAUCAUUUUUUUUUAUAUUUCAUCACAAAAAUCUCUUUUCCCAUCUGAAUACCUUUUUGUUGAUAUUGUUCUUCAUAUGAUUUUGUUCCACCACAAAGAAGUUUUCAAUCUUCAUAUUCAAAUUUAUUUUGCUAUUUAAGUUCGGACCAUCUUUGAAUUUUUAUUUCUUCCAUUAUCGCACUUGAUAUAUCCUUUGACUAAUCUUUCUUUUGUAAACUGUUGAUACCAUCAGAUCUAGAUAUUUGCCUCUGAUUCCAUGUUAUGAUGAUCGAUGUUCCUCCUUGAUUUCAUGGCUUGCAUCUUUUAUGAUGUGGAUACAUGUAUUCAAGGUCAUCAACAGAAGUUUCGUUGAUAUCACUUGCAGUUCGAGUUAGCUAUGGUGAGUCUCCUUACUUUUGGAGAAUUUCAUUUACUUUGAGUUUUGUCAGGAUGCCAUGGGUCUUGUCCCGAUUCCCAUCGUUUUCAUUUAGAGACUUAAUAGAUAGCUAGUAGAGUUUGAGAAGUUUGUUUCAUUUAUCUUGUUAAAUGUUUUAAAGACUUGAGUUCUCUAUUUCAGGCUAAUUGAGUGUUCUAGUUUAUCAAAGUUAAUCAUUUGAACUACAACUUUGUGUUUGAGUUCUAUGGACUUUAUUCGGUAUUAAUCUUUGUAUGUUUGAGUUAGUCUGCCUCUUGUAUUCAGCCAGGAUAAGGGUUCGCUUUGGGAUCAUCACAAGUUCUCGAGUGUCGGUCAUGUCCAUGGUAUAGGCUCGGGUCAUCACAAUUUACUUUUUGAAAAUCACUUUUGAAAUGUUGUAUGUAUAAAACAAUUAAGAAAUAUAUACUUACAAAGAAUCAUCACUUAAUA